GUGAACGCUGGCGGUAGGCCUAACACAUGCAAGUCGAACGGCAGCACAGUAAGAGCUUGCUCUUACGGGUGGCGAGUGGCGGACGGGUGAGGAAUACAUCGGAAUCUACUUUUUCGUGGGGGAUAACGUAGGGAAACUUACGCUAAUACCGCAUACUACCUACGGGUGAAAGCAGGGGAUCUUCGGACCUUGCGCGAUUGAAUGAGCCGAUGUCGGAUUAGCUAGUUGGCGGGGUAAAGGCCCACCAAGGCGACGAUCCGUAGAUGGUCUGAGAGGAUGAUCAGCCAAACUGGAACUGAGACACGGUCCAGACUCCUACGGGAGGCAGCAGUGGGGAAUAUUGGACAAUGGGCGAAAGCCUGAUCAAGCAAUACCGCGUGGGUGAAGAAGGCCUUCGGGUUGUAAAGCCCUUUUGUUGGGAAAGAAAAGCAGCAGGUUAAUACCCCGAUGUUCUGACGGUACCCAAAGAAUAAGCACCGGCUAACUUCGUG
rnacentral:rRNA from 1 species